rnacentral:rRNA from 1 species
UGAGUAACGCGUGGGAAUCUGCCUUAAACAGGCGGAUAGCUCGCCGAAAGGCUAAUUAAUACCGCAUAUGCACACAUCCCGACAGGGAUAUGUGUGAAAGGAGUAAUCCGGUUUAAGAUGAGCCCGCGUGCGAUUAGCUAGUUGGUGGGGUAAAGGCCCACCAAGGCGACGAUCGCUAGGUGGUCUGAGAGGAUGAUCACCCACAAUGGAACUGCGACACGGUCCAUACUCCUACGGGAGGCAGCAGUAGGGAAUUUUACGCAAUGGGCGAAAGCCUGACGUAGCGACACCGCGUGAGCGAAGAAGCCCUUUGGGGUGUAAAGCUCUGUCAGCUGGAACGAAACAAAUGACGGUACCAGCAGAGGAAGCAUCGGCUAACUACGUGCCAGCAGCCGCGGUAAGACGUAGGAUGCAAGCGUUGUCCGGAUUUAUUGGGCGUAAAGAGUUCGU